rnacentral:rRNA from 1 species
CCUACGGGAGGCUGCAGUCGAGAAUCAUUCACAAUGGGGGAAACCCUGAUGGUGCGACGCCGCGUGGGGGAAUGAAGGUCUUCGGAUUGUAAACCCCUGUCAUGUGGGAGCAAAUUAAAAAGAUAGUACCACAAGAGGAAGAGACGGCUAACUCUGUGCCAGCAGCCGCGGUAAUACAGAGGUCUCAAGCGUUGUUCGGAAUCACUGGGCGUAAAGCGUGCGUAGGCUGUUUCGUAAGUCGUGUGUGAAAGGCGCGGGCUCAACCCGCGGACGGCACAUGAUACUGCGAGACUAGAGUAAUGGAGGGGGAACCGGAAUUCUCGGUGUAGCAGUGAAAUGCGUAGAUAUCGAGAGGAACACUCGUGGCGAAGGCGGGUUACUGGACAUUAACUGACGCUGAGGCACGAAGGCCAGGGGAGCGAAAGGGAUUAGAUACCCUGGUAGUC